rnacentral:rRNA from 1 species
GUCGAGGGGCAGCAUUUUAGUUUGCUUGCAACUAAAGAUGGCGACCGGCGCACGGGUGAGUAACACGUAUCCAACCUGCCGAUAACUCUGGGAUAGCCUUUCGAAAGAAAGAUUAAUACCGGAUGGCAUAGGAUUGUCGCAUGAUGAUCCUAUUAAAGAAUUUCGGUUAUCGAUGGGGAUGCGUUCCAUUAGGCAGUUGGUGAGGUAACGGCUCACCAAACCUUCGAUGGAUAGGGGUUCUGAGAGGAAGGUCCCCCACAUUGGAACUGAGACACGGUCCAAACUCCUACGGGAGGCAGCAGUGAGGAAUAUUGGUCAAUGGACGGGAGUCUGAACCAGCCAAGUAGCGUGAAGGAUGACUGCCCUAUGGGUUGUAAACUUCUUUUAUACGGGAAUAAAGUGAUCCACGUGUGGAUUUUUGUAUGUACCGUAUGAAUAAGGAUCGGCUAACUCCGUGCCAGCAGCCGCGGUAAUACGGAGGAUCCGAGCGUUAUCCGGAUUUAUUGGGUUUAAAGGGAGCGUAGGUGGAUUGUUAAGUCAGUUGUGAAAGUUUGCGGCUCAACCGUAAAAUUGCAGUUGAUACUGGCAGUCUUGAGUACAGUAGAGGUGGGCGGAAUUCGUGGUGUAGCGGUGAAAUGCUUAGAUAUCACGAAGAACUCCGAUUGCGAAGGCAGCUCACUGGACUGCAACUGGCACUGAUGCUCGAAAGUGUGGGUAUCAAACAGGAUUAGAUACCCUGGUAGUCCACACAGUAAACGAUGAAUACUCGCUGUUUGCGAUAUACGGUAAGCGGC